UACGUAAGCAGCAAGCGUUGUUCGGAAUUACUGGGCGUAAAGAGUGUGUAGGCGGUGUUCUAAGUUUGUCGUGAAAUCUCCCGGCUUAACUGGGAGGGUGCGGCGAAAACUGGAAUGCUAGAGGAUGGGAGAGGUAAGCGGAAUUCCUGGUGUAGCGGUGAAAUGCGUAGAUAUCAGGAGUAACACCUGUGGUGUAGACAGCUUACUGGACCAUUUCUGACGCUGAGACACGAAAGCGUGGGUAGCAAACAGG
rnacentral:rRNA from 1 species